rnacentral:rRNA from 1 species
CUAUAAGACUGGGAUAACUUCGGGAAACCGGAGCUAAUACCGGAUAAUAUAUUGAACCGCAUGGUUCAAUAGUGAAAGACGGUUUUGCUGUCACUUAUAGAUGGAUCCGCGCCGCAUUAGCUAGUUGGUAAGGUAACGGCUUACCAAGGCGACGAUGCGUAGCCGACCUGAGAGGGUGAUCGGCCACACUGGAACUGAGACACGGUCCAG